CCGUAUGUAGUAAUAUAUGGCAUUUUCUGCUCAAUGAUUUUUUAAAUAGCCGCAGUACUCUGACUGUGCAAAGGUAGCAUAAUAAUUUGGCUUAUAAUUGGAGUCUUGUAUGAACGAAUACAUGGGGAGUAACUGUAUCAGCAAUGCAUAAUGAAAUUGCUAAUUACGUGCAAAUACGUAUAUUUACUUAAAAGACGAGAAGACCCUAGAAAUUUUUAUUAUUAACAUUAACCGUUUUUGCUGGGGCGGCAUAGUAACAUGAAACUUACAUUAGUGUACAAGGAGUGGUAUUUGCAGAUGGUUUAAAUUACUCUAGGGAUAACAGCAUAAUUUAUUAUAGUUUGUGACCUCGAUGUUGGACUAGGAAGUUGAAGUUUAGAAGAUUUACAAAUGUGCUCUGUUCGAGCAGUUAAUCCUACAUGAUCUGAGUUCAGACCGG
rnacentral:rRNA from 1 species